GAAGGUAUACCUCAGUGGUGGGGUGUGUGCCUAGCACGUACGAAGUCCUGGGUUCAAUCCCCAGUACCUCCA
rnacentral:tRNA from 1 species